rnacentral:lncRNA from 1 species
GGCGGCGCGGCUCCAGCGAGGCCGGCGCCUGAGGUCUCUAAGGCUGCGCCCGCCCCCGCCGGGCUUCUAAGCUGUCCAGAGCGGGGAGCCUCAGACCCAGCCGAGCCCCACUUCUGGGCUUAGAGCUUGACCCAACACGUUCGCACCGUAGCGAGCGAGGUCCACAUUUAGCCAUGCCGCAGGCAAAAGAAGGAUUCGGCUUCGGUCCUGGCCCAGUCUGCCAUCCCGGGGCGCCUGCCUUGUACCGGGUCCCGCGGAGGGCGGCCUUGGCGCCUGCCUCCCUGGAGCCUGCAGUCCUGCAGUGGGCUGGCGUGGAAUCCGAGGGUUCCUGAUGACUGCAGCUCCUCGCCCCUCCCGCUGUGUUCCCGCCGCCUCUGGGCUGAAAGCGCCAUCAGGACCCGUGGCGCGUGGGCUUUGUUAAGUCAUUAACUGCUUGGGACAUAGCAGGAGCAUGGUGCGCGGCACAGAACAGGCUUGGCUUCCACGGCCCAUCCAGGCGGAGCCGUCAGCGUCCCUUGCCUAGACCAGAGCUCUGGAAAGCGGAGAGGCGGACAGGGGCCGUUCCCCAGAUCUGUUCCGGAGGAUGCAGAUCAGAACCAGAGAGGGUGCAUUUAGAAACUCAUUGCAACCUGACAAAGUUGCAGCGUUGUAGCGCGGGGUCAGCAACAGGAAUUCGGGUUGGGUGGAGUCGGACUCAGGGAGUGGUCGCUUGUGCGCAGAACUGCGUAGACUCGAGUAGGUUCGAAAAGGAUAGGCCUGGGGGCAAGACCUAGUCCUUCACCACAGGUAAAUCUAGGCGUCCGCGAGGGUCUCCUGGCUCAUUUUCCUGCAUCCACUGGCCUCCCACCACACUGCGACAUCCAGAGUGGUCGUUACACAAAGCAAACUGAAUUAAGUCAUUCCCCUGCUCCAGAGUCCUUGCAGCCUCCGGCCCUACAGGAUGCGCCCCUGCCUGCCUGCCAGGUCGUCUUAUACCCUCUCCGCAUGGUCUUGCAAAACUGACUCCGCUAUGCACCGCUGAUGCACCAGGCUUCUCCCGGGAAAGACCUUUGCACGAAUUAUGCCUGCCUGGGGUAUCUCUUUCCCCUCUCAACUCAAAAAUCACCUUCUCAGAGGCCUUUCUAACCAUUUCAGUACUCCUCAUUCUGUCACAUCCCUGUGUUUUAUGUUCUUCAUAAUGAACUGAAACUGUUUGUUGUAUGUUUUGUUGGGUCUUUUCAUUUUCCCCUACUUGGAAGUAAGCUACUGUCUUGUUCACCCUUAGAUUCCCAGCGCCUAAGGCGGAGGCCUGACACUUAUAAGCACCCAUUAUAGUUGAGUUCCCAUUUAUUAAUUCAAGCAAAAACUGUGGUUUGGGUCACCAAAGCAUGAAACCCCACUUGGAAUCUUGGGGUUUGGAUAUUAGCACUUAACUAUUCAUCCACUCCUUCAUCUCUAAGUUUUCUUCUCAGAGAAAAUCAUGGA